AGAAAUAAGUCCUGUUAUUUUUUUGAAUAGGGAGCAAGGAAAAUACGAAGACGUUUAUAAGAUUAAGGCAGGAACAUUCUGAUCUCUUCACUGGAGCUAAAAAUACAGCCUUAUAUGGUUGGAGAUUUAUUCUGGAGAAAAUGGACCUUUCCAGUAAAAUAACACCAGUGCAAGCUAAGAAAAAGUGGGACAAUUUAAAAAAAAAGUAUAAGGAAUGCAAACAUCCAGGGUCAGGUGAGGGCAUGAACAACGGAAAGCCAACUGCUGAAACCUGGCCGUGGUUUGUCCUGAUGGAUGAGAUGUUGGGUCAGAGGCCUUCCAUUUCUCCCCCUGUUCUCAUUUCUUCACUGCCUGAUGACGAACCACAGCCAGGUUGCAGUUUUGUUGAGCCUACCCAGGAAGCAGAACAGCAGGAGAGGGCAGGGAUAGAUCAGUCACAAACGAAAAAGAGAAAAAAUAAAUCAGAUCCUCUUCUUGAGCUCCUGAAGGAAGACAUGGCACGGCAGAAGGAGUGGGAAGAAAGGAGAGAUGCAGAAGACAGGGCGAGGAGUGAUAGGCUCUUUAAUUUACUUGAAAAGUUCAUUGAUAAAAUGUAAUAAAACUAUUUACAAUAUUUACUUACUAUCGUUAAUUACAAUUAUUGAAAAGGUAAUUCUGUAGACAACAUUUCACUAAAUCUUUAAAGUAAUACAUUUUAAAUGGCUUAAAAAUAUUUAAUGAAUAAAAUGUAUUUGGUUACAAUUUAACAAAUAUAAAAGAUAUAUUAUGAAAAAGAUGUCAUGUGUUGUGUGAGCUCUCAUGCUGACUUCUUGGUAAGCCUAAGAACAAAAGAAGAAGAAAAUAUGCUGGCUUAAGGAUUUUAAAAUUCCAUGAUAAGGUAAUCAGUUAUGCAUUAAUAAUUCUGUAUAAACUAUAUUAAACUAAAGUAUAGGUAAUUAUACAUUUUAAUUUUAAAAUCAGUAUUUGUAGCCAAAUUAAAUGAAAUUGUAUUAAUUAAGAUUAAUUCCUUAAUUGUAUUAAGUGUGUACAACUUACAUUUUUA